AAGUAACUCCUGCCCAGUGAAUUUUAUUUCAACGGCCGCGGUACCAACCGUGCAAAGGUAGCAUAAUCAUUUGCCCAUUAAUUGUGGGCUAGAAUGAAAGGAUUAACGAAAUAAUUACUGUCUCUACAAAUUAAAUAAAAAUUAUCCUCUAACUGAAGAUUGUUAGAUUAAAUUGAAGGACAAGAAGACCCUAUAGAGCUUUAUUUUAUUUUGUUGUAUAUUUACAUGUAUAAAUUCGGUUGGGGCGACCAGGGAAUACUAAUCAUCCCUAAAACAAAGAUUUAUAUAUCUAUUUCUAUGACCCUUCUAAGAUCUAAAAACCAAGCUACCUUAGGGAUAACAGGCUAAUCCUACUAAAGAGUUCUUAUCUAUAGUAGGGAUUGGCACCUCGAUGUUGGCUUAGGGAAUCUAUAUAGCGCAAAAGCUAUAUAAAGAUGGUUUGUUCAACCAAUAAUACCCU
rnacentral:rRNA from 1 species